ACAUGAACCUUGCCUCAGGCUAUGGCAUCCAGCUCACUCAGACUCCUGGAUAUGGAAGCCCAUCAGGGCCUGUUUGUAAGGCACUCUGAAGUGUGGCCGUUUUGCUGUUGCACAAAGGAGAAAUGGGCAUUCCCAUAAUUCACUUCAGCAAGAAACCAGACAGAGAUCUAUGGGACUUUAUAAAAACGGAUCCCACCAGCUGUGCAUCUGAUGAACUGACAUUCAGCUCUCCAAACUGCACUGUUUCAAAAAGAUCCAGCUACCAAAUGAUGUACUCUGGAACAGAUCCCCAGUCUGAAGUGUGAUUAGCCUGAAGAUGAGGAAUCCGGGCUCCGGCCUAAGAAGAUUAAAAAUUA